CCUACGGGUGGCAGCAGUGGGGAAUAUUGCACAAUGGGCGCAAGCCUGAUGCAGCCAUGCCGCGUGUGUGAAGAAGGCCUUCGGGUUGUAAAGCGCUUUCAGCGGGGAGGAAGGCGGUGAGGUUAAUAACCUCAUCGAUUGACGUUACCCGCAGAAGAAGCACCGGCUAACUCCGUGCCAGCAGCCGCGGUAAUACGGAGGGUGCAAGCGUUAAUCGGAAUUACUGGGCGUAAAGCGCACGCAGGCGGUCUGUCAAGUCGAAUGUGAAAUCCCCGGGCUCAACCUGGGAACUGCAUUCGAAACUGGCAGGCUAGAGUCUUGUAGAGGGGGGUAGAAUUCCAGGUGUAGCGGUGAAAUGCGUAGAGAUCUGGAGGAAUACCGGUGGCGAAGGCGGCCCCCUGGACAAAGACUGACGCUCAGGUGCGAAAGCGUGGGGAGCAAACAGGAUUAGAUACCCGUGUAGUC
rnacentral:rRNA from 1 species